UAAGCGGAGGAAAAGAAACUAACAAGGAUUCCCCUAGUAACUGCGAGUGAAGCGGGAAAAGCUCAAAUUUGGAAUCUGGUGGUCUUUGGCCAUNCGAGUUGUAAUUUAGAGAAGCGUCUUCCGCGCUGGACCGUGCACAAGUCUCCUGGAAUGGAGCGUCAUAGAGGGUGAGAAUCCCGUCUUUGGCAUGGAAUNNCAGGGCUUCUGUGAUGCGCUCUCGACGAGUCGAGUUGUUUGGGAAUGCAGCUCAAAAUGGGUGGUGAACUCCAUCUAAAGCUAAAUAUUGGCGAGAGACCGAUAGCGAACAAGUACCGUGAGGGAAAGAUGAAAAGCACUUUGGAAAGAGAGUGAAACAGUACGUGAAAUUGUUGAAAGGGAAACGCUUGAAGUCAGUCGCGUCGACCGAGACUCAGCCUUGCCUCGGCUUGGUGUACUUCUCGGCUUGACGGGUCAGCAUCGAUUUCAAUCCUCGGAUAAUGGCAAGGGAAAGGUAGCACCUUUUUAGGUGUGUUAUAGUCCUCUGUCGCAUGCGAGGGUCGGGAUCGAGGAACUCAGCACGCACCUCAGGGUGUCGGGGCCUUGGCCCACGUUUACGUGCUUAGGAUGCUGGCGUAAUGGCUUUAAACGACC
rnacentral:rRNA from 1 species